rfam:Pteropus alecto contig88479, whole genome shotgun sequence.
AUCACCUGAACAUUUUGUUAAAAUGCAGAUUCCAAUUCAGUAUUCUGGGGCCUGAGAUUCUGCAUUUCUAACAAGCUCCAAAGUAUUGCCAA